rnacentral:lncRNA from 1 species
GCUGUUUUAAUUUGCAAAAAUUCUUAGGCAUACUUACCUUGCAUUUAUUGCCUGAUCAAAACGGGAUCCGAGGAGAGGAAUGCCAUACUCUUAGAUCAAAGACUUUGGAAAUUAAAAAAACUUGUCAACUCUUACUGACAUAUUGUUUAUUAGAGGGACCAUGGGCUAUCAUUUUCUUCUUUUUCUCUUUUUUUCAGGUGGAUAUCGAGGUACCCCUAAUUCUACUGCCGGACACUCGUUCAUUUUUUUCUGCGAGGUUGUCGAGCACUUACUCCUUUUUAUUUCCUCGAAAUAUUCAUAUUUUUGCAUAGCCCAUGCCUCUAAUGCAAUAAUACUUCGAAAGAGUGAAUCUUUCUGAGUAAAUAUCUUGAUCUUAAGAGCAUGAUAAAUCUCUCAAUAAGGGUCUAACUCAUUUUGAACAAACUCAAUAUAGGUUAGAUAGCUUUUGUAAUUAUCAAUAUUUUCAGGUUUAUCAGGCAUAUAAAACACUGAGGAUGGUAGCUAGAAUUUUUAAAGAUAAAUUCUCCAAGCAGCAUUGAUAUCAAGAAUAAGGUACUCAUACUCUACCAUCUUACAUUCCACAGUGAUUUAAAUAACACAGGGUUUUAAAAUGAUUUUUCUAUAAU